UGUCGCCUGUCUUCACUUGUUUGUCUCUGCUUUUAGGGCUGCUCUUUCCCCAUAAUUUCAGAAAAAAAGCUAUCUGAAAAUUAUAGAGAAUCUGCGUGUCAAUGAGAGUAUAUCAAUCAUCAAAGAGUACAACUCAUUAACUACUACAGCACAAAGCAUUAGUGCUUAGUAUGUGCCAAACUCUGUUCCUAGCAUUUUACAAAUAUUAACUCACAACAAUUCUAUGAGGUGCCACUGUGUGGAAGGACGAUGAGUGCUCAAGCCAAAUAAAAUCAGACUUUUUUUUUGUACCAUCAGAAAGAUGAAUGAAGGAGGCUCAGGAGAAACCUGCUGUUUGUCUAAGCUUUCACUGGUUCCACAAAGUGGUCUCUCCAGAUCUCGCUGGCCUUCAAAACCAGAACCCAUCAUCGUAUACAGUCAGGACAUGGGUUCUAAUUCUACUCCUGCUCGCACUUUUGACAUUUAGAGCAAAAUCUCUCUGUAACUAGGCAACGUGGUUUUGCUUUGAACAAAAGGACUCCAGCAUCACCUUCUGGGGACACAAGCUGGCCAUUCUUUUUCUUGGACGCACAAGCAUCAUUACCUUCAAAGUCCCCAUUUUCCCACAGAGCCAGCGCUUCAGUUCCUCUGUUCACUUCCUAGAAUGUGCUUUUCAUGAAUUCUGUUUUUCUCUCUGAGUUUCUCCCUUCAGGAGAGAAUGUGAGAAGCCAGCUCUUCAUGCAGUUUCCAUAGCUUCACCCCUCACCCAGAAAAUCUUAAGGAUUGUGGAUUUAGCAGGGGAGUGCCAAGGUGGCAGAACCAAAAUGGAUUUCAAAAAUCUUAAUUCAGCCUCGCAGGCAGAGAUUACAUCAUCGGUAUUUUCAUCAUCAUCAAGUUUUAUUUCAUUUUUGUUAGAGUAGAAAUUACAAGAUGGAUAAGUAUAUAAGAAAAGAGCAUUUAAAACAGGCCAUCUCAGAAACAAAUAGAGUCAAUAUUUGUAUACAUCUCUUAUGACACAGUUUCCUGGGGGAAAUGCCUUAUUAGAAAGUCCAUGGGGGACGGGGUGGGAAGGGGGAUCAGCAGGUAAAUGUUCCCUAGAGAAAUGUGCAAUGAUAAAAGUGGUGCCUAAAGCUGAUUAAGAAAGAAAAUCUCCUUUUCUUUUACUUGGAUUCCUAAGAAAAUUAAGUGAAUAUGAAAAAGAACUGAUAUCUGUGACUCAGAGUUCAAAAUUGACUGGCUCUCUUUUGCUCGAAGAAGACAUUUGGCAAAUGUGACUGUGUUUCUUUAUCCCAAACCUAACUUUAUUAACAGAUGAAACAGCAGACUAUGCUUGCUUUUCAAAUUACUUAAAUUUGUGUAUGAAAACAUGGGUUCUCCUGAACUGUCCAAACAACUGUAAAGAAAUAGUGAAAAAUCAACUCUUCAAGAUCUUCAGGAAGUUUGUGAGUCACUCGGAAUGCAGAAAAAUGUCACUUGUCAUAUCAAAACUGGUUCUUAAAAAAACUACGUAUUUUCAUUGAAAAAGCAAUACUUGUAUAUGGCAGAAAUUCAAAUAUUACCAAAAACUGUCCACAAAAAAGUAAGUUUUCUCCAUACCCUGGUAACUGGGUUCACUGCCUUAGAGCAACUCCUGUUAUGAGUGAUUUGUUUAUCCAUACAAAAAUAGGUAAAUAGAACUUAUG